CUUCGGGGACAUUGGUGACAGGUGGUGCAUGGUUGUCGUCAGCUCGUGUCGUGAGAUGUUGGGUUAAGUCCCGCAACGAGCGCAACCCUUGUCUUUAGUUGCCAUCAUUAAGUUGGGCACUCUAGAGAGACUGCCAGGGAUAACCUGGAGGAAGGUGGGGAUGACGUCAAAUCAUCAUGCCCCUUAUGCUUAGGGCUACACACGUGCUACAAUGGGUAGUACAGAGGGUUGCCAAGCCGUAAGGUGGAGCUAAUCCCUUAAAGCUACUCUCAGUUCGGAUUGUAGGCUGAAACUCGCCUACAUGAAGCUGGAGUUACUAGUAAUCGCAGAUCAGAAUGCUGCGGUGAAUGCGUUCCCGGGUCUUGUACACACCGCCCGUCACACCACGGGAGUUGGAGACGCCCGAAGCCGAUUAUCUAACCGUUUGGAAGAAGUCGUCGAAGGUGGAAUCAAUAACUGGGGUGAAGUCGUAACAAGGUAGCCGUAUCGGAAGGUGCGGCUGGAUCACCUCCUUUCUAAGGA
rnacentral:rRNA from 1 species